rnacentral:rRNA from 1 species
GACCGUGCAAAGGUAGCAUAGUCAUUAGUUCUUUAAUUGUGAUCUGGUAUGAAUGGCUUGACGAGACAUGGGCUGUCUUAAGGUAUGGAAUUUGUUGUUGAAUUUUGAGUUUGAGUUAAAAUUCUUAGAUGUUUUUAUGGGACGAGAAGACCCUAUAGAGUUUAACAUUUGAUUGCGUAUAUCUUGUUGUUUGUUUUUAAUUUUUACGUGUCUACUUGUUUUGUUGGGGUGAUGGGAGGAAUUUA